rnacentral:rRNA from 1 species
CUAACCGUAAACGAUGACAACCAGCGAUUAGUCGGUGUUAAUAUACGACCCGACUAGCAGCUUCCGGGAAACCAAAGUUUUUCGUUUCCGGGGGAAGUAUGGUUGCAAAGCUGAAACUUAAAGGAAUUGACGGAAGGGCACCACCAGGAGUGGAGCCUGCGGCUUAAUUUGACUCAACACGGGAAAACUCACCCGGCCCGGACACCGUAAGGAUUGACAGACUGAGAGCUCUUUCUUAAUUCGGUGGGUGGUGGUGCAUGGCCGUUCUUAGUUGGUGGAGCGAUUUGUCUGGUUAAUUCCGAUAACGAACGAGACUCUGGCCUAUUAAAUAGUCGGUAUAUCCGGAAAAGUUUACCGUACUUCUUAGAGGGACAAACGGCGUCUAGCCGCGUGAAAUAGAGCAAUAACAGGUCUGUGAUGCCCUUAGAUGUCCGGGGCUGCACGCGCGCUACACUGAAAGAAUCAGUAUGCGCUUUAACCUAGUCCGGAAGGAUUGGGUAACCCGAGCAAAUUCUUUCGUGCUUGGGAUAGGGAAUUGCAAUUAUUUCCCUUAAACGAGGAAUUCCCAGUAAAUGCGGGUCAUAAGCUCGCGUUG